rnacentral:rRNA from 1 species
AGAGUUUGACCCUGGCUCAGGAUUAACGCUGGCAGAAUGCCUAACACAUGCAAGUCGAACGGAUCUUGCUGAUUGACGAUGGAGAGCUUGCUCAAAGUCUGAUUGAAGCGCUGAUUAGUGGCGAACGGGCGAGUAACGCGUAUUCAAUCUCCCUCCGAGUUGAGGAAAACUAUAGAGAUAUAGCUAAUCCUCAAUGGUCUCAUAUGAAUGAAAAUAGUAUGAGUAAAGGUUUACCGCUUGGAGAAGAGGAUGCGUCCUAUCAGGUAGUUGGCGGGAUAAAAGCCCACCAAGCCUAUGACGGGUAGCCGGUCUGAGAGGAUGGUCGGCCGCAAUGGGACUGAGACACGGCCCAUACCCCUACGGGGGGCAGCAGUGGGGAAUCUUGGACAAUGGACGAAAGUCUGAUCCAGCAAUUCUGCGUGCGGGAUGAAGGUCUAUGGAUCGUAAACCGCUUUUCUGAAGGAAGACGAAUGACGGUACUUCAGGAAUAAGCGACGGCUAACUUCGUGCCAGCAGCCGCGGUAAUACGAAGGUCGCAAGCGUUAUCCGGAGUUACUGGGCGUAAAGAGUUCGUAGCUGGUCUAGUAAGUCUGAUUUUAAAGACUCUGUCUCAAGCAGAGGAAGGGGUCAGAUACUGCUAUUCUGGAGAUAACUGGGGGUUAGUGGAAUUACCGGUGGAGGGGUGAAAUCCGUUGAUAUCGGUAGGAACGCCAAAAGCGAAAGCAACUAACUAUGGUUUUCUGACAGUCAAGAACGAAAGCUCGGGGAUCAAACGGGAUUAGAUACCCCGGUAGUCCGAGCCGUAAAUUAUGUCUGCUAAGUGUUUGGGCUUAUACCCCAAGUGCUGUUACCUAACGGGUUAAGCAGAUCGCCUGGGUAGUAUACUCGCAAGAGUGAAACUCAAAGGGAUAGGCGGGGGAACACACAAGAGGUGGAUUGUCUCGAGUAAUUGGAUAAUAAGCCAGAAAUCUUACCUUCACUUGACAUGCUAUGUGUCAUACGGGUGAUCCGUAUUAC